AUUGAACGCUGGCGGCAUGCUUUACACAUGCAAGUCGAACGGUAACAGGUUAAGCUGACGAGUGGCGAACGGGUGAGUAAUGCAUCGGAACGUGCCCGGUCGUGGGGGAUAACGCAGCGAAAGCUGCGCUAAUACCGCAUACGAUCUGAGGAUGAAAGCGGGGGACCGUAAGGCCUCGCGCGAUCGGAGCGGCCGAUGUCAGGAUUAGGUAGUUGGUGGGGUAAAGGCUCACCAAGCCGACGAUCUGUAGCUGGUCUGAGAGGACGACCAGCCCCACGGGGACUGAGACACGGCCCAGACUCCUACGGGAGGCAGCAGUGGGGAAUUUUGGACAAUGGGCGCAAGCCUGGUCCAGCAAUGCCGCGUGCAGGAAGAAGGCCUUCGGGUUGUAAACUGCUUUUGUACGGAGCGAAAAGGCUCUCUCUAAUACGGAGGGCUCAUGACGGUACCGUAAGAAUAAGCACCGGCUAACUACGUGCCAGCCGCCGCAGUAA
rnacentral:rRNA from 1 species